rnacentral:lncRNA from 1 species
AAAUUUUAAAGGAGGAAGUUACCAAUAAGUAAAUGUUGAUUACUGUAUUGAAUGCAAACCUUUCUUUUCAUAUCUAACAAGUUUUAUAAACCAUUAAAGUGUAUGGAGUUUCCCUUCCUGAAUGAUUUUUGAGAAUGCUGUUUUAUUAAAUCCUUUUUCUCUUAUUACUGGAGUCCCAUUUUUGUACUCCUGUGUCAUUAUUUAUUUUACUUUACUAUAAUGCACUUUUGUAAUGUGUGGAGCUUUGAGAUCUUAGUGCUGGAGCUUGUGUUCAUUCCCUGUAGGCUAGAGAGGUGCUCGCAGUUCAGUUGUGACUGCUCAAGCUGCCCCAAACAUGGUUUUCAUGUCUCCUCCUGGGACCAGGGACUUCAGGGCUGUGGCACCAUGCUGGGCUUUUAGUCCUGUCCUCUUGGUGAGGGUUUGUGAUUUUGAUCUGUCUUUCCCAAGAACCUCUUUCCAAAAGGAAGUCUCAUUUUUCCCUUAAUCUCGUGGAUGUUGAUAUUUUUAAUUCUACCACUAUCUACUUAACUGAAAUGUUAUGUGUGUGUGUGUUGGGAGCGGUAAAUGUCUGUGUAGUGUGUGUACAUAGCAUGUGGAGAUCAGAGGUUAAUGUCAGGUGAAUUCUUUAUAUACUUGGCACGUUUUUUUGUUUUUUUUUUUUGUUUGUUUAAGACAGGGUCUUUUACUGAACAGUGAGUUCACAGGGUUGGUGGCUAGACUGGUUAGCCAGGGAGAUCCAGGAAUCACCUCCUAGACCCCCAUCAUACUGGAUUACAGAUCAUAGUGCUGGGCCCCGUAUUUUACCUGGGUAUUGCAGUACUUAGGUCCUCAUACUUAUGUGGCAAGCACUUUACCUAUUGAGCCAUUUCCCCGUCUCUUCCUUUCUUGCAUGUUCAAGUUUCCCUCUUCCUCUCUUCCUCAUCACCUCCCCCACUCCUUUUUCCCAACCAAUCCUAUUGGUUCCUGAAUGCUGGAAUUUCAAGUGUGAGCCACUAUGUCCUAUUUAAAUGACAUUUAAUUUGUAUGUUUAGUAGUCAUAAGCAUUUGUGAUAAGAAUGUUUUUAGUUUUCCCUAAAAUCCUUAAAAAUAUACAGGGGCUAGGAAUAUAGCUCAGAAGGGAUAGUGCUUGCCUAAUGUGGCAGAAAGCCCUGGGCUCAAGGCGUAACCAGUCAUGGUGACAUAUGCCUGUAAACGCAGCACUUAGGAUGUCGGUGCAGGAGGUCACCCUUAGCUAUACAUAAGGUUCCUGGUUCUUGUGGUCUAUGUGAGACCUUGUCUCAAAAAGGAAAGAAAAAAAAUUGGUAUAGCCAGUCCAGUCUCAGAAGUGAUCCCUGGUUACUGAACUUUUUGUUGUUGUUGUUGUUUGUUUGUUUGUUUGUUUGUUUCUUUGUUUUUUGAGACAGGGUUUCUCUGUGCAGCCCUGGCCGUCCUGGAACUCACUCUGUAGACCAGGCUGACCUCGAACUCAGAAAUCUGCCUGCCUCUGCCUCCCAAGUGCUGGGGUGAAAGGCGUGCGCCACUACUGCCCGGCUAAUUAUUUUUAAUAUCUCAUUUAAUGGCAGUUUCAUAGUUCAAGGUAUUUUUUAUUUAUUUAUUUUUUGUUGUCACUGCUGUUGGUUUUGUCUUUUGAUACAGUGUCUUUAUAGUCUAGGUUGGCUCUGAAUUCAAGACGAGUCCACUUCACUUUCCCAAGUCCUGGGGUUAAAGGAGUGAGCCAUUGUGUAGUCUUCACAGAUGCAUUCUGUAUAUACUAAUAUGGCUGAAUUUAAUAUCAUAAAGUUAAUUUAUAGUUUAGCUCUGUUAUUUUGCUUCUUAAAGUUAGCCAAUCUUUGGGUUUUAAGGGCUUUACUAUUUUUUUUAGGGGUGGUUUCGAGGUCAGAGUUCUCUGGUUUGUCUUAGAACUUUGAAGACCUCAGGUUUUGUUUUCCAGUGUUAUAGUGUGUCUGAUAUCCUUGGCCUCUCUCUUCGGUAUAAAUAAAAGUAAAUGUUGUAUAUUUGGUGAUUAUUUUGUUUCUUUUGUUUUUACUGUAAAUGUGUCAAGUGUUGCUGUUAGAGGCUCUCUUAGUUCUUUUACAAGGCUAGCUUCUCAUAUGCUCCUUUCCUGUGAACUGUAUCUCGUGCCUGUUUUCUUCCAUUACCUGUAAGAGUGACUGUCAGUCACAGCAUUCUCUUUGAAGGGACAGUUAGAACUCCCACUUUUGUUUGUAGUAGCUGAUUCAUACUCCUUGGAUUUAAAAUGCAGUUUAUGUGUUAAGUGACUAUCAUGCUUGUGGACCAUUUCAGUCUCUUUCAGUUAGUAAGGCAACAUUGCCCUGAAUAGUGGCGGAAUGACAUGACCUAAGUCUUUAAGACACAAGUUGUAUUCUUGUUGCUUUGUUUGUGGGGUUGGCUGGGUGUGUCUUCAUUUUUGGUUUCAUUGUAUCACCCAGACUGGAUUGGCACUUUGUGGAGUCCUGCUGCUUCAAGUGCUGGCAUUCUAAGUCUUGUUUGAAAAAAGAUUUGAUUGCUAGCUAGGUGUGGUGGCCCAUACCUUUUUUUGUUUUGUUUUGUUUGUUUGUUUUGAGACGGGGCCCAUGCCUUUAAUUCUGGAGGCAGAGGCAGGUAGAUGACUCUGAGUGACCAGCUUGGUCCACACGGCCUAUUCCAAGUCAACCAAGUCUACAUAGUGAAAUGCUGUUUU